rfam:Myotis lucifugus cont2.17420, whole genome shotgun sequence.
GGAUGUGAGGGCGAUCUGGCUGCGACAUCUGUCACCCCAUUGAUCGCCAGGGUUGAUUCGGCUGAUCUGGCUGGCUAGGCGGGUGUCCCCCUCCUCCCUCACCGAUCUAUGUGCGUCCCUCCCGAAGCUGCGUGCUCGGUCAAAGAGGACGACCUUCCCCCCCGAGGAGAGGACCGGUCUUCGGUCAAGGGUAUACGAGUAGCUGCGCUCCCCUGCUAGAACCUCCAAACAAGCUCUCAAAGGAAGAAACUGAGGCUUGUGGAGGCUAAGCCCCUGAGGACCCAG